AGAUUCCGGAGAGGGAGCCUGAGAAACAGCUACCACUUCCACGGAAGGCAGCAGGCGCGCAAAUUGUCCAAUCCCAAUGCAUUGGGGAGACAGUGAGAAGAAAUAUCAAUGCAGGGCUUUUCAGCUUUGCAAUUGGAAUGAGUUUAACCCAAAUCCCUUUACAAGUAUCAAUUGGAGGGCAAGUCUGGUGCCAGCAGCCGCGGUAAUUCCAGCUCCAAUAGCGUAUAUUAAAGUUGUUGCAGUUAAAACGCUCGUAGUUGAAAUUCUGCUAGUGAUAAUGGGUCAUCUCUUUGAGUAUGUACUUGUCGUCAUUGGCAUUAAUCCGAUCCAUCUGGCGGGUCAAACCGUUGGAUAUUCGGAGCUGUUACUUUGAGAAAAUUAGAGUGUUUCAAGCAGGCGUAAUGCCU
rnacentral:rRNA from 1 species